rnacentral:rRNA from 1 species
UAGCGGCGGACGGGUGAGUAACACGUGGGUAACCUGCCUGUAAGACUGGGAUAACUCCGGGAAACCGGAGCUAAUACCGGAUAGUUCCUUGAACCGCAUGGUUCAAGGAUGAAAGACGGUUUCGGCUGUCACUUACAGAUGGACCCGCGGCGCAUUAGCUAGUUGGUGAGGUAACGGCUCACCAAGGCGACGAUGCGUAGCCGACCUGAGAGGGUGAUCGGCCACACUGGGACUGAGACACGGCCCAGACUCCUACGGGAGGCAGCAGUAGGGAAUCUUCCGCAAUGGACGAAAGUCUGACGGAGCAACGCCGCGUGAGUGAUGAAGGUUUUCGGAUCGUAAAGCUCUGUUGUUAGGGAAGAACAAGUGCAAGAGUAACUGCUUGCACCUUGACGGUACCUAACCAGAAAGCCACGGCUAACUACGUGCCAGCAGCCGCGG